UCCUUGUUGGCUCAGACGGUACAGCGUCUGUCUACAAUGCGGGAGACCCGGGUUCGAUUCCUGGGUUGGGAA
rnacentral:tRNA from 1 species